rnacentral:rRNA from 1 species
GAUGAACGCUGGCGGCGUGCCUAAUACAUGCAAGUCGAGCGAACGGACGAGAAGCUUGCUUCUCUGAUGUUAGCGGCGGACGGGUGAGUAACACGUGGAUAACCUACCUAUAAGACUGGGAUAACUUCGGGAAACCGGAGCUAAUACCGGAUAAUAUUUUGAACCGCAUGGUUCAAAAGUGAAAGACGGUCUUGCUGUCACUUAUAGAUGGAUCCGCGCUGCAUUAGCUAGUUGGUAAGGUAACGGCUUACCAAGGCAACGAUGCAUAGCCGACCUGAGAGGGUGAUCGGCCACACUGGAACCGAGACACGGUCCAGACUCCUACGGGAGGCAGCAGUAGGGAAUCUUCCGCAAUGGGCGAAAGCCUGACGGAGCAACGCCGCGUGAGUGAUGAAGGUCUUCGGAUCGUAAAACUCUGUUAUUAGGGAAGAACAUAUGUGUAAGUAACUGUGCACAUCUUGACGGUACCUAAUCAGAAAGCCACGGCUAACUACGUGCCAGCAGCCGCGGUAAUACGUAGGUGGCAAGCGUUAUCCGGAAUUAUUGGGCGUAAAGCGCGCGUAGGCGGUUUUUUAAGUCUGAUGUGAAAGCCCACGGCUCAACCGUGGAGGGUCAUUGGAAACUGGAAAACUUGAGUGCAGAAGAGGAAAGUGGAAUUCCAUGUGUAGCGGUGAAAUGCGCAGAGAUAUGGAGGAACACCAGUGGCGAAGGCGACUUUCUGGUCUGUAACUGACGCUGAUGUGCGAAAGCGUGGGGAUCAAACAGGAUUAGAUACCCUGGUAGUCCACGCCGUAAACGAUGAGUGCUAAGUGUUAGGGGGUUUCCGCCCCUUAGUGCUGCAGCUAACGCAUUAAGCACUCCGCCUGGGGAGUACGACCGCAAGGUUGAAACUCAAAGGAAUUGACGGGGACCCGCACAAGCGGUGGAGCAUGUGGUUUAAUUCGAAGCAACGCGAAGAACCUUACCAAAUCUUGACAUCCUUUGACAACUCUAGAGAUAGAGCCUUCCCCUUCGGGGGACAAAGUGACAGGUGGUGCAUGGUUGUCGUCAGCUCGUGUCGUGAGAUGUUGGGUUAAGUCCCGCAACGAGCGCAACCCUUAAGCUUAGUUGCCAUCAUUAAGUUGGGCACUCUAAGUUGACUGCCGGUGACAAACCGGAGGAAGGUGGGGAUGACGUCAAAUCAUCAUGCCCCUUAUGAUUUGGGCUACACACGUGCUACAAUGGACAAUACAAAGGGCAGCGAAACCGCGAGGUCGAGCAAAUCCCAUAAAGUUGUUCUCAGUUCGGAUUGUAGUCUGCAACUCGACUACAUGAAGCUGGAAUCGCUAGUAAUCGUAGAUCAGCAUGCUACGGUGAAUACGUUCCCGGGUCU